UAUAGUACCGGCUUUCAAGGACAAGUUGAGUUCGUAUGAGGAGCAGAUAAGAAAAUUUAGAAUUGCCAAUAGGCCAAUGAAGCUUGUCUCAGCUUUGCAGCAAGGACAGCUUCUUCCAACUCAUAUGCAUUCCAUGCAGCAGCCUCAACCUGAAAGUAAUCAAACACAAUCUCACAAUAAUGAAAUGAACCCUCAGUUUCCGUCAAUGAUGAGACCAGCUCAGAUGCCGGAAUUGAAGAAGCAAAUGCCGAGGCUACAGCAGCUGCAGCUUCUUCAAAUGCUGCAACAGCGAGGUUUGCACUGGGUUGAUGAGCAGCAGUCACCUGCAAAGAUUAAAACAAAUGAAUUAUCAUAUUGGCAUGAAAUAGAUAUUGAUUCUGGAGUUCAAGGAAACCUCCCUAGUAACCAACUUCCAGGUUAUGAGGAAGCAAGAUCUGAAUACCACGCACCCGACACUGCUGGGAUUGGUGUGCCGCCAACUAUGUCAAUACCACCUUUGCUUCCAGGGUUUAAAGAAGUUAAUGAUACUAGUGGUAAUGCUUUGACAACUGAUUUUGGCAAGCCGGACAUCACAGAACAGCCACAUGAUCUCAAGGUGAACAUGGUAAGUAAUGUUAACAUUAAUGGGAGACAACAUUAAUGGCAAACAAUACAAAGUGGUGCAAGUUUAGCACCCUAAAGUUGACUUUGAAAAAGUGGUAUGGGAUAAUUUUUUUUUUGGUCCUUGAGAUAAUGGGCUAUUUAUUGUUUGGUCCUUAAACCUCAACUAUAAAUAGGCCUUCUCAUUUCUCAUUUCAAUUCAUCCCAACCAAUCUCUCUCUCUUAGUUUUCUCUCUUCUCCCAUUUGAGAAUUCUUAAGGAAUUCUAUUUGUUUGUAAUACUUUGGAGAUAGUAAAGUUAUCAUCUGGUGUUAGUGCCCGAGGACGUAGGUAUAAUUUACCGAACCUCGUUAAAUCUCUUGUGUUCUUUCUUGUCCUAUUUUUCUUUCAAUAUUUGAGGGUAUAAUAGUAGUAUUUAAUUGUGCUAUUAAAUUACUAUAGAAGGGAUAUUCUGUCUAAGGAAAGACUUGGUAUUUAAGAGAUCCAUGUGAUCCACCUCUCUUCCCUGGGAAUUGAACUUUGUGUGAUUUUUUAGUACAAUAAUUUACACGCUUCCGACCCUAUUGGAACAACAAGUGGUAUCAAGAGCCGAAGGUUAAUCGUAGUAUGCUCUGUGGUUGCAGUUUGAACUGAUCUUCCACAUCAGAAAAGAUUUCCUUAGGUAUAUUGAAAGAUUAUGGAGAAAACGGUCGGUGUAGGAGCUUCAACAUCGUCCAUGUGGACAAGACCGACAAUUGCAAAUGCAAGAUUGGUCGUGGAAAUCUUUGAUGGCACGAGCCAUUUUGGUAUGUGGCAAAGUGAGGUUCUAGAUGCCCUUUUUCAGCAGGGUCUAGACAUUGCCAUUGAUGAAGAGAAACCAGAUGAUGUACAGGAGAAAGAUUGGAAGGCGAUCAAUUGGUUGGCAUGUGGCACAAUUCGAUCAUGCCUUUCUCGAGAGCAGAGGUAUGCUUUUUCAAAGGAGACUUCUGCAAAUAAGUUGUGGGUGGCACUUGAAGAAAAUUUUUUGAAGAAAAACAGUCAAAAUAAGCUCCACUUGAAGAAAAGACUGUUUCGCUUCACAUACGUCCCAAGUACCACAAUGAAUGAUCACAUCACCAAAUUUAAUCAGUUAGUCACUGAUUUGCUGAAUAUGGAUGAGACAUUCAAAGAUGAAGAUUUGGCUUUGAUGCUGUUGGGGUCACUUCCUGAGGAGUUUGAGUUCCUAGAAACUACUCUACUUCAUGGCAGGAGUGAUAUAUCUCUGAGCGAAGUCUGUGCGGCCUUAUACAGUUAUGAACAGAGAAAGAAGGACAAACAGAAAAACUCAAUCAGAGAUACAGAAGCUUUAGUAGUCCGAGGUCGUUCAUACACUCGGAAGAAAACUCAAAAGGGGAGAUCAAAGUCAAAGUCCAGACUCGGGAAAGAUGAAUGUGCUUUUUGUCAUGAGAAAGGCCACUGGAAGAAAAAUUGUCCAAAGCUGAAGAAUAAGGGAAAAGCUGCUGUAGAUGCUUGUGUUGCUAAGCAUGAUACUAGUGACUCUGAACUAUCACUGGUUGCAUCAUCAUCGUCGUUCCAUUCAGAUGAGUGGAUAUUGGAUUCGGGUUGUACCUAUCAUAUGUCCCCUAACCGGGAGUGGUUCUCUGAUUUAGUAGAACUAAAUGGAGGAGUUGUUUAUAUGGGCAAUGAUAAUGCCUGUAAAACUGUUGGGAUAUGUUCAAUCCAAUUAAAGAAUAAAGAUGGAUCAACCAGAGUUCUGACUGAUGUUCGGUACGUGCCCAGUUUGAAGAAAAAUCUCAUCUCAUUGAGAGCCUUGGAAUCCAAUGGUUCAGUUGUUACUAUGAGAGAUGGGGUUUUGAAAGUGACAUCUGGCGCACUUGUGAUAUUGAAGGGCAUCAGGAAAAAUAACUUGUAUUACUACCAAGGUAGUACAGUUAUUGGAGCAGUCGCUGCAGCUUCCGGUAACAAAGACUUGGACUCAAUGCAGUUGUGGCAUAUGAAGUUGGGACAUGCCAGCGAAAAAUCCUUGCAAAUUCUGGCAAAGCAAGGAUUGUUGAAAGGUGCAAAGGCUUGCAAAUUAAAAUUUUGUGAGCACUGUGUUCUGGGAAAGCAAAAGAGAGUGAAAUUCGGCACUGCUAUCCAUAAUACAAAAGGUAUUUUGGAAUAUAUUCACUCAGAUGUGUGGGGGCCUUCCAAAACACCUUCGUUGGGAGGAAAACACUACUUUGUUACUUUUGUUGAUGACUUUUCCAGAAGAGUUUGGGUGUAUACCAUGAAAACUAAAGAUGAAGUGCUUGGAGUUUUUCUUAAAUGGAAAACUAUGAUCGAAAACCAGACUGGCAAGAAAAUCAAGCGGCUUAGGACGGACAAUGGAGGGGAAUAUAAAAGUGAUCCGUUCUUCGAUGUGUGCCAAGAGUAUGGUAUUGUUCGACACUUCACAGUUAGGGAUACACCACAACAGAAUGGAGUGGCAGAGCGUAUGAAUCGAACAUUGCUAGAGAAAGUUCGAUGUAUGUUGUCCAAUGCUGGGUUGGGCAAGCAAUUUUGGGCUGAGGCUGUGACAUACGCUGGCCAUCUUGUUAAUCGUUUGCCAUCAUCUGCAUUAGAAAGAAAAACUCCUAUGGAGGUAUGGUCUGGAAAACCAGCUACAGAUUAUGAUUCCUUACAUGUGUUUGGAACCACUGCAUAUUACCAUGUGAAGGAGUUAAAGUUAGAUCCGAGGGCAAAGAAAGCUCUCUUUAUGGGAAUCACUUCUGGAGUGAAGGGAUUUCAUCUUUGGUGCUUAAGCACAAAGAAAAUGAUCUGUAGCAAAGAUGUUACCUUUGAUGAAUCUGCCACAUUGAAAAAGGUAGCAGAUAAAGAUAUUCAGACGAGCAAUACUCCACAGCAGGUGGAGUGUACUCCAAAACAGGUGGAGUUUGAGCAGAUGGGGAUUUGCCCAGUUAAUAAGUCUAAUUCUCCAGCCACAAUGGAGGAAUUAGAGGUUGAAGAGGUUCUGACCCAAGAACCACUAAGUACACCAGAACCAGUUGCAGUUGCAAGGCCACGGAGAGAAAUUCGUAAACCUGCUCGAUUUACUGAUAUGGUGGCCUACGCCCUUCCCGUUGUUGAUGAUAUUCCUAUCACUUAUCAAGAAGCAAUGCAAAGCUUAGAAAGUGAUAAAUGGAAAAGCGCCAUGGAUGAAGAAAUGCAGUCUCUCCGGAAGAAUAAUACUUGGGAGUUGGCGCAAUUACCGAAAGGUAAAAGGGCAAUCGGAUGCAAGUGGGUAUUCGCAAAGAAAGAUGGAUCUCCUAGCAAGAAGGAUAUUCGCUACAAGGCAAGAUUGGUAGCUAAAGGCUACGCUCAGAAGGAGGGAAUUGACUACAAUGAUGUAUUUUCCCCUGUUGUGAAGCAUUCCUCCAUUAGAAUUUUGUUGGCCUUGGUAGCACAGUUGAAUUUGGAGCUAGCUCAACUUGAUGUUAAGACAGUUUUCUUGCAUGGUGAGUUAGAAGAGGAGAUCUAUAUGACUCAGCCCGAAGGAUACACAGAUGCUGGUGGUAGAAAUUGGGUUUGUAAGCUGAACAAAUCGCUAUAUGGAUUGAAGCAAUCCCCGAGGCAGUGGUACAAGCGAUUUGAUAGCUUUAUGAGAAGGCAGAAGUACACAAGAAGCAAAUAUGACAAUUGUGUAUAUUUGCAGAAGCUGCAUGACGGAUCUUUCAUUUAUCUACUCUUGUAUGUUGAUGAUAUGUUAAUCGCUUCGAAGAGCCAAAAUGAGAUAGAUAAGCUGAAGGCUCAGUUGAAUCAAGAGUUCGAGAUGAAAGAUCUAGGUGAGGCCAAGAAGAUUCUCGGCAUGGAGAUAAGUAGAGAUAGACCGAGAGGCAAGCUCUGUUUAAAUCAGAAGCAAUAUCUGAAAAAGGUAUUACAAUGUUUUGGUGUAAAUGAAAACACAAAACAUGUAAGUACCCCACUUGCUUCUCAUUUGAAACUUAGUGCUCAAUUAUCUCCGAAAACUGAAGAAGAAAGAGAAUAUAUGGCGAAAGUCCCAUAUGCUAAUGCAAUUGGGAGUUUGAUGUAUGCGAUGGUGUGUACGAGGCCUGACAUUUCACAAGCUGUUGGAGUUGUGAGCAGGUAUAUGCAUGAUCCUGGAAAAGGACAUUGGCAAGCUGUGAAAUGGAUUCUACGGUAUCUUCGAAAAACCGUAGAUGUUGGUUUAAUUUUUGAACAGGAUGAAGCACUUGGUCAGUUUGUAGUUGGAUAUGUUGAUUCCGACUUUGCUGGUGAUUUAGAUAAACGUCGUUCAACUACGGGGUAUCUGUUUACUCUUGCGAAAGCCCCAGUGAGUUGGAAGUCUACCUUACAGUCUACAGUAGCUGUGUCUACUACAGAGGCAGAAUAUAUGGCAGUUACAGAAGCUGUUAAGGAGGCUAUUUGGCUUAAUGGAUUGUUGAAAGACUUAGGAGUUGUUCAAAGUCACAUAAGUUUAUAUUGUGACAGUCAGAGCGCUAUUCAUUUAGCGAAAAAUCAAGUCUAUCAUUCAAGAACCAAGCAUAUCGACGUAAGAUAUCACUUUGUGCGGGAAGUCUUUGAAAAAGGAAAAAUUCUACUUCAGAAGAUUCCGACAGCAGAUAAUCCCGCAGAUAUGAUGACCAAGGUGGUAACAACAAUCAAGUUUAAUCAUUGUUUGAACUUGAUUAACAUCCUGAGAAUUUGAGCACCUUCAGGUGUAUGGCGCUCGAGAGUGCAUUUGUAGGCACUACAAAAGAUAGCUUUAUCGAAUUUGGGGAGUUGAAGGAAGUGUGUGAAGAUGUGAUUAUCCUAAUCAAAUCUUCAAGGUGGAGAUUGUUAACAUUAAUGGGAGACAACAUUAAUGGCAAACAAUACAAAGUGGUGCAAGUUUAGCACCCUAAAGUUGACUUUGAAAAAGUGGCAUGGGAUAAUUUUUUUUUUGGUCCUUGAGAUAAUGGGCUAUUUAUUGUUUGGUCCUUAAACCUCAACUAUAAAUAGGCCUUCUCAUUUCUCAUUUCAAUUCAUCCCAACCAAUCUUUCUCUCUUAGUUUUCUCUCUUCUCCCAUUUGAGAAUUCUUAAGGAAUUCUAUUUGUUUGUAAUACUUUGGAGAUAGUAAAGUUAUCAUCUGGUGUUAGUGCCCGAGGACGUAGGUAUAAUUUACCGAACCACGUUAAAUCUCUUGUGUUCUUUCUUGUCCUAUUUUUCUUUCAAUAUUUGAGGGUAUAAUAGUAGUAUUUAAUUGUGCUAUUAAAUUACUAUAGAAGGGAUAUUCUGUCUAAGGAAAGACUUGGUAUUUAAGAGAUCCAUGUGAUCCACCUCUCUUCCCUGGGAAUUGAACUUUGUGUGAUUUUUUAAUACAAUAAUUUACACACUUCCGACCCUAUUGGAACAACAAGUAAUUCACAUGCUUUUUUUUUCCUUUUUUCUUCAUUGGGUUUGAUAGUUUAGCUCAUAAGGAAAUGGGGGAAAUCACCUUGAAAUUUAUCAUCUAUUUUCCUUUCUGAUGUUCAUAUUAACCCUCAGUUGCUGAUUACUAUUUUCUAUGGUUCAGGCAAAACCCAAAUCACUGAGUGCAACUGUGGUGACCAUGGUUGAUGAGGCAGUCAGUGCAGUCGGUGAGGAUUUGGCGGCCAUGAAAAAGCAAGGACUGCAUGCAAGAAAUUUCUUUACACAAACUGGAAUGAGUGGAGCUGAGAAAAUGAGAUGUUAUUUGAGUGCAUUAGUUAUAUUAGCUCUCCUCAUUUUUUUCAUUUUCAACCUCAACCACCAAUAUUAAAGCACUGGAAUAUGCAGGACCGGUUCAGUUCUAUACCCCACCCCCCUAAAUUUUGUUUUAAGUUUAUGUUUGGGUAAAGGAUGAAAGAUCUUUUUAUUAACAUUGGUUUCUCUCUUUAUAAUAAUCAUAAUAGCCAGGGAACUUGUUCCCUUGUUAUUCAUUAGAUGUCCUGAUAAUUUAUCUUCUUGUUCUAGCUUGAGAAAUUAUAUAUAUUUGCGUACUGUAACCAAACCAUCAUUCGAAUAUCUAAAAUAUUUUUGUGUUUGUCAAUGUUUUCCUACGAAUAUAUUCCUUUUUUUUUAAAUUUUAAUAAUUCAAAUUGUAAGUGUAAUUAUAAGCAUAAUCUAGUAUUAAAUAAUAAGAUAUUUUUAUCUAUAAAUUUGAUAGUUUAAAAUUUAUAAAUUAUAACAAAAGUGUAUUUCAAUAUAAAUAUAAAAUGCAAUUUAAUAUUUAUUAAAUACUAUCUAUUCUAGUAUUUUAUAUAGUUUUAAAAUAAUAAUUUAAAUAUUUUUUAUAAUUGAAUUUAUGUGCUAUUUGUUAAACUAAAAAAUUAAGUGUUGUAAAUUUAAGUAUUAUAGUUAAGUUAUAAAAUAUGUUCGGUAUACUACUUAAAAUUAAGCAUUAAAAAUUUAAGUAAUAAACUUAAGUUAUAAAGUAUGUUUUGGUGUGUUCUACAUUAAGUGAUAAGUUGUUUCUUAGCUACCUAUUACCUUGUUCUUUAACCUAUUACUCUUCAUAUGGAUUCUUAUUUGUUAUGUUGAGAAGUUUUCGAAGUAUUAUCCAUUGCAUAGUUGGUCAGACCCCAACAAUGAUUGACAUUUUUCCAUGUGGGAUCCCCAUACUUAGUGUGAAUUGUGGAUUUAAUAUUUCUGCUUUAAUUUGAUCAAUUUGAGCCCCUGUAUUUUUUAAUUUAAAAUUUUUUAAUUCUGACUCAAUAAUCACAAUUAAAUUUGUUUGAUUAAAUUAUGUUAUUAGUCCUAUAUUAUGUGUACAGUUAUAGAUUUAGUGGUUAUAUUUUUUGAAUUUCAACAUUUUACUCUUAAUGCAAAUGACAGUCGUUAAAUCUAUUACCUAACUUUUUGUGAGUAAUACGUGAAAAAAACAAAUAUAGAAUUAUACAAGUGAUAAUAUGUUUGACACAUCAAAUUUUAAAAAUAACAGAACUUAAGUUAAUGAAUUUAAUAGUUAUCAUUUGGUUAGGACAAAAUUUUAAGUUCUAAAAGUAUAGGUAAUGAACAUGAUCAAAUCAAAGUAAAGGUACUAAAACCUAUUGGUAAGAAUUCUCUUUCAUUCAUUCUGUCUUUCUUUAUUUUAUGGCCUUAUUCUAUCUAUGUAUAAAAUAUGAGGCCAAUAUUAUUAAGACCAUUAUUACGCUUACAGAUCAAAGUGAAAUAUAGUAUUUAAUUCUUUUUCUUUCCUUUAAUGCCUAUUGGUGUUCCAAAAGUUCCUUUUCGAAAUCCGGGAGAGGAAGAUGCAGUUUGGGUUGACGUAUAGUGCGACUUGUCAAAUAUAUUGGGUCAUAUGGGAUUCCCCCGUUCUCUCGCCCGAUCGAGAUAUCCUCUGUUUCGCCCAAAAAAGAUUAAUUGAAUUAUCAAAAAUUUGUAGCGUGAAGUACGCAAAGUAUAAGGUCUAAUAACAGAAUUUGACCAUAUUUUCUUAAAUAAUAUCGAGCAAUCACGUAAAUUGAUCAAUAUCAAUACAAAAAGGAAAGAAAUGCUGUUACAUGUUCUUAAUUGUUUCUUGAACCUUUUUAUUACCUUUCAUUGAGCAAAAAGAAACAAUUUCUUCGCUUUCUUCUUUGUUUCUUUUAUCUGUAAAUUUUACCACCAUAUUUUGGCUCGUAUCAGUUUUUAAGCUUAUCUAAGAAGGGUUGAAUCAGAUUUCAGAUAUAACAUAACUUCCCAUUAGUAGCUUCUCUACUUCUCUUCUCUUUCUUUUCAGCCUAACAGAUAGGAUUCUCCAAGUCCAUCUUGUUUUCGAGUUUAGGUAAAAUUUUCAUUUAUCUUUUUUUUUUUUAUAGAUUGCUCUCCAACAAACGCAGCAGACUGCGCUUUGAUUUAUUGCCAACUUAUCCCAGCAGCAGCAGCAGCCCAUGUCUCAGAAUGAAUCAGAGCUUACUCAGUUGCAGCCCCACCAUCAUCAAGAAAAGCAAGAGACAUCAUCAAGUAAGUUUUUGAAUCUUUGCUGCUCUUUGAUUUGUUUCUUCGUUGUUUUCUCAUACUGUGUUAUUGUAACUAGUGCCGUGAAUUCUUUUUCCCGGUAUAGUCACCACCCACUAUACAAUUUUCUUUUAGUCGAUGUUGUUGCUUUGCGUUUCAUUUCUACUAUAGGAAGUAAUUUUCUUUCCAACUUGAGGAGAUUACGAGAAUCUCUUCUUCAACUUGGCUCUGCUCAAAGAUACUCCUCUUCCAUAAGUUAUUUAUAUCGAUGUUCUUUUAGACCUGCAACAUAAUGAUGUAUCUUUGUGCAUAACCGGUUUUCAUUCAUCUAAAUUAUGUUUUCCUUGUUCUUCUUGCUCCAAAAAGUUUCAUUUUUCUUAUGUGUGCAUUGUUUAUGUUAUGUUCUUUUAGCAUCUUCUACAGAUUCCACAGCUCGAACAGGACAUGAAAAUGGGGGUGAUUGGCAAGAAGAGGUCUACCAAAAAGUACAAACUAUCUUCACACGUUCUCCUAUUCAUAAUAUUAUGCUUUCAACUUGGUUUAAGAUGAUUUUGAGUAGGAAAGGGUACUGAGAGAAUAUUAGGGUAUGGUAUGAUCUGUUUAUGUUGAGAUGAGUCUCUUUACAGGAACUAUAAAACGGAAGAGUUAACUCAAAAGGCAAUUUGGAAAGGAAUUUCAGGCAUCUUCUGAUUGAUUUAUUAUUUUGUUAUUAUGAACUUGAAUUUUCUGAGAAGAAAGAAAAUAAAGCUUACUUAAGCCCUUCAGUUUCUUCUGUUAUUAACUAAAGUCAGUGCCAGUUUGUCAGAAAAUGGAAAAAUCUUUUUACUUUUUUCUAAUAAGCCAUGAUUCUAGAUGAAUUGAGUGGUUAGGAUGUCGGCUAACCAUUCUGUUCCCGAUUUCAUGUUGCAGAUCAGGGCCAUGAAAGAGACAUACUUCUCUGAAUUAUAUGAGAUACAACAGAAAAUUGCAGCCAAGUUGCUGCAGGUAGAGGUAGGUAUCCUUUCACGUAAUCAACCUUCAAAGAGUAAUCGAAUCCAACUGCAUGAACCCCUGCCUCCCUGUAUCUCUAAAUUGAAUAUGGAGAGGACUUCACUACACUUCAGGAAGCUUUCAGUCCCAUACCGCUUUUUAAUUGCUACUUGAAGCCCUUUCCUUUUGGCACUGUUUACUGGUUGCACUUUAUGCUUAUCUGAUGUAAUAGUGGUUUGUUAUUCUACUUGCAUCAGUUAAAACAAUUCUACGCAUUCUAUUUUCCAGCAUGAUUCUCUUCCACAGCAGCCAAAGUCAGCGCGGCUUGAGAAGUUGAAAAUAUUCAAGACCAUGUUGGAGCGCAUUCUGUCUUUCUUAACAAUUUCCAAAGCUGCUAAAGUACCGGCUUACAAGGACAAGUUGAGUUCGUAUGAGAAGCAGAUAAGAAAAUUUAUAAAUGCAAAUAGGCUAAGGAAGUCUGUCUCAGCUUUGCAGCAAGGACAGCUUCCUCCACCUCAUAUGCAUUCCUCGCAGCAGCCUCGACCUCAAAUUAAUCAAUCAGAGUUUCGUGAUAAUCAAAUGAACCCUCAGUUGCGGUCAAUAAAUUUACAAGGUUCUAUGCCAGCAAUGCAGCCGAACAACCUGACAAGCUCGUUGCAUAUUCCAUUGUCUUCUUUGUCUGGGGUUUCAACAGAACAGCAGACCAUGUUAAAUUCGCUGCAACCAGGUUCCAAUUUGGAUUCUGGACAGGAUAAGGCUGCAUAAAUAUAUAAAUAAAUAUUUGGGAAAACGAAGUUGGAACCAAGAAAAACGACUGAAUCGAAGUGAAGAACUUCGCUUAGGUUAUUGUGGUUGACUUAUAUAAUUGGUCCGUUCGGUCUGUUUGAAGUACUGUAGUUUGCAAAAGUUUAGUUAAUAACAAAUUUUACUCAAUAGAAACAAAUACAAGAAAAAGUCAUAAUUAACAAAUUUUUAUUUUGUUAAAUGAAUUUAAGAUAAGUUUGAUAAUUUAAAAAAAAUUAGUAGUAAAUUUUAUAACCAUUAAAUUUAUGUUAUAAAUAUAUUUUGUAUAGAUUAAAUAUAAUUAUUUUGUUUGGUAAUAUUUUUUAUUUUAAUCUUAUUACUAUAAUUUUAUUUAUUUUAUUUUGAAUAGUUUUAAUAAAAUUAAAGAUAAAAUCAAUUUUUUUUUUUGAUUUCUCAAUGUAUCUAUCUCACUUAACUCUCGCGAUUUAAAAUUAAAAUAUUUUAAAAAUUAAUAAAAUGAGGAAAUAAUUUGAAUAGUUGUGAAAUAAUUUAAAUACGAUAUUGUUUAUUUAUAUAUUUGUUUUAUAAUUCAUAUUUUGUUUGAGGUUUGUUUUAAUCCUUUUAACAAUGUCAUCAUUAAUGUUUAAAUUUGUGUUUUUUUAUUGGAAGUGCAAUGUUCUUUACUACUGUUAUCUAUACUUGUUCUAAUACUGCAUGUGCUACUCGGAGCUUUUGUUCUAAUAGUAAAUCGUAAAAAUUAAACUUUAAAUUUCAUUCUAAUACAAAUUUCAAUUAAUAAGGGACAUAUGAGUGUCUAUCAAUUGAUUUUACUGAUAUAAUUAAUGAGUAUUUAUAUUUAAGAUUUGUUUAAAUUUAUUAUUUAAUAUUUAUAAAAAAUAUAUACAUAUAUCAAAUAUUUUUUAUAGAUUACAAAAAAUUUGAAAUGAUUUAUUGAAAUAAAUCGAUAUCCAUGCAUAUUAGUAUUGAUAGAAAACUAGUGUAUCCCUUGAUUAUUUGGAUUUCGAUGCAGUAAUAAUAACAAUAAUAAUAUUAAUAAUAAGACAAUUAAAACAAGGGCGAUAAACAUAGAGACGGUUGUGUUUAUAUAAAAGAUAAUUCAUCAACUUUGGUCUGUUCUCUCUCUUUUAAUUUCCCUUUUCUUAUGCUUUCUUUACAACCAAACAUACUUCCUCGAAGUUUCGAUCAAAAAAAAAAAAAAACAUACUUCCUUAAGGAAUUCCAUAUUUGCAAAAUACAUCCUUCAAGAAUUCUCGAAGCCCAUCUCUGUUUCGGAAUUGGGAAAUACAUUCUUCUGGAAUUCUUGAAGCCGAUCACUGUUUCUAAUUAGGGCCUCCUUCUCGAGGUAAAAAUUUCAAAAAAAAGUUAUAGAUUUUAGGGUUCUGCUGCUUGAAUAUCCUCAGAAAUUUUACUUGCGAUUAGGUCUUUACUUUCAAGAAUGAAAGAUUUUAUUUUAUUUUUUGAAUAUCAUUGUUUCACCAGUAACAUUGCAUUUACAUAUAUAGUUUCUGCUGUGAAAAAAAAGUAUAAAGCUUGAUUGAAUAUUUUGAUACUCGAUAACGGAAGCAAGCCUCAAAGCAAGUACUUACAUAUAUACAUUUUUUUUCUUUUUUUCUUUUUUGUAAUUAAUAAUUUACGCUAAAAUUCUACUUAAAGGGGCUGAUUUCUUCGGGAAAUUGUCAAAAAAAAAAAUUAGCUGCAAGAGUUUCAGUUGCUUUUUUUGGUUAGAGGGCUCAAAUUUUUUAUAACGAUGAGUCUAGGUAGCUUUCUCGGAAGCCAACAAACAAUUUAAUUCUUUACUGAAUAGCUAUUACUUGAAUAUAAGCAUUGCUUGCCAGUGAUAUGCGCUGGGCUAGUGGGGCAAACAGAGAGAAAGAAAAUGGAAUCUUAAAAAGAUCACCUUGUGUUAGUAUUAAUCAACGAAAUUGAUGUUCGGUUGUAAAGUUUUGGUUUACAUCGGGAAAGAUCAUGUUCAACUUCAAUCAUGGUCGUAGGGUUUCUAUGAGUGUCUAAUAACUUGCCGUCAUUUUGUUAGAACUAAAAUGUUGCUGCAAAUGAUGAAAACUGUCCCCCUUGUGUUACAACAUUACAGUACAUUCUGCUCUUAUGUAUGGAUUUAUUCUUUUUGGUUUCUUUGGGGGGAAAUAAGGAGAAAUUUUAACGAAGUCUGUGUUUUCCCGAGGCUCUUACCAGUAGUAGAAACUUAGGAUGGGGAGGGAAGUAUUACUGAAAAGAACUUUGCCAAACGUUUUUCAUAUUUGAGAAGUAAUUUAUUUCAAAUUGACUACUUCCAAUUUAUGACUAGGGAAAUUCAGAUUGGAUAUGUUUGUGACUGUUGUUUUCUCUUUUCAGAAUUUCAUGGAUACGAAUAACUGGAGGCCUACUCCUCCUAGUGGAGAGCCCAACAUGGACAGUGGUGAUUGGAGAACCACUUUGCAGCCUGACUCACGACAAAGAAUUGUCAACAAGAUGUAAGUCAAUUUUAUGGUAUAAUUCUCCGUUAAAUAUACUUGUUAAGUUGCUGAAAUCCUGUGGGUCGUUGUAUGCUGUGAGAAACAAUAGCAUCAAUAACAGUAUGUUUCUUAUUAAAAUGGACCUGUUUUGUUUAGUAGUGCUUCAGAAUCAAAGCUUGCUUUACCCAUAGUUUGGGGUCACACUAUGUUAGCCACGUAAAUUUAGCUUAAUGUAGCUAAGCUAUUUUGUCCAGGUCCAACUCUAUCUGCUACACUUGGUAUCAUUAUUUAAUCAACUAUGUGAUUGAAUAAAGAUGCAUUCUUCUUUUAGAUCUUUGUAUCCUUGCAAGAUUUGGUGGUUCUUUUAUUAAAUAACUUAUUGCUAUAAGGUACACUAAUGACCUUGUCUUUCUACAACAUUCUCUGAACUAUGGUAAUUUUGAUGUUAUGUGGUCUAUUUGAAUGUAUUUGGUAUAUGAAGGCCAUGAGGACUACUUUGUUUAUAUUGGAAAGGUUUUGUUAAGUUCAGGUGCUACGGUUUCGGAAUUAAAUGAAGGAUGUCCUGAACAAGUUAAAGAGGAAAAUCUUAUGUUGACCCCGAUAGCUCGCAUUCUUAGCAUUUAUUAUAUACCAAUUGAAGAUUCCUACAUAUAUCAUAUUUCUUUGUCAAUAACUUAAACAAUGUUUUGUGCACAUAGAAUGGAUACAUUGAAGAGGCAUCUUCCAUUUUCUGGGCAAGAGGGUUUAAGUGAACUCAGGAAAAUUGCUGUGAGGUUCGAGGAAAAGAUUUUUACAGCUGCAAGCAGUCAGGUAAUCAUCGAAUGUUAGCAUUCCAUAAUGUGCUUGGCUGCAUUUUUCUUUACCAAUAUUUAGGUGUGUUUGCACUGUGUCUUCGUGUUUGUGUUAUCUGUUUUUUCUUAUUCAUAUGCAUGGAAGAAAUCUGGGAAGGAAAGAGAGAGGAGAGGAAAAAACUAAAGAUGCUAAAUGCUACUCAAUAUCAAGCAUGAUUAAUUUAAAUAUUUGAGAAUCUUGUAUUAGAAUAAUAAAGAAACUUGUUUAACACUGCUAUGGAUUUCCAUAUUCAGACUGAUUAUCUGAGAAGAAUAUCUUUGAAGAUGCUUACAAUGGAGACCAAGUCUCAGAAUACCAUGCCCAACACUGGGAAUAACAGCAAACCACCUGAUCCAGGUAAUAGCAAGAAAGAGAAAUUGCUUUGAUGUACUAUAGUAGUAGGGUACUUUCCCUUCGCAUGUCCUUUCUAUUCUUCUACAUGCAGAGUCAUUUAAUGUUUAACAUGUAUGGACAUUUGCUCUAGUUAGUAAUUUAGUGAACAUUUUCUAUUUUUGUACCCCAUUUGUCCCCAUAAUGGUAGCGUAUUAACACUUAAACUAGUUGGGUAUUGUUCAAGUGCCCUCACCUGUUUUUGGUCUAGUUAUCUUUUUGAAUGUAUUAAUUAUUAAUUUGGUUUUUGUUAUCUUGUUUUAAAUGCUCUUCAAUUCUUUUCUUCUGGUUCUUCCCCUACUCUUUUUGAACCAAAAAUAUCGGUGGUAGGUUCUCAGGGCAUGCAGAACCAAGUUCACAGUCAAGGACAAUCAAUUCCUAUACCAUUACAAAGUAAUCAGUCUCAAGCACGUCAACAACUGUUACCCCAGAGUGUUCCGAAUAACAUGGCAUCUGCUGGAGUUCAGAGUUCUGCUGGUUUACAACCUGGAAUGCCUCCUGUAUCUGGUCUAUCUCAGAAUCCUAUAUCUAAUGUUGUUGGACAGAAUUCCAACAUCCAGAACAUGUCUGGAAUUUCGCAGAACUCAAUGGGGCAAGGAAUGCCUUCCAAUAUUUUUGCUAAUCAGCAGAGGCAAAUGCAAGGAAGGCAGCAGGUGCUUCCUCAACAGCAGCAGCAGCAGCAGCAGCAACAGCUAUAUCAUCAGCAGCUGCAACAAACACUUAUGAAGCAAAAGAUUCAACAGGGGAAUCUUCAGCCUUCACUCCUGCAGUCUCACAUGCAGCAACAGCAGCAGCAAAACCUACUACCACCUACUCAGUUGCAAUCAUCCCAGCAAUCUGGUAUGCAAACAUCAUCCAUUAUGCAGCCAUCAGCCAUGCAAUCAACUCUUCCUGGUCUUCAACAGAAUCAGCAAUCUUCUCUCCAACAGUCGACACAGUCCAUGCUUCAGCAGCAUCAACAGUCAGUUCUUAGACAGCAGCAACAGCCACAACAGACCACCAGUGCUGGUAUUCAUCAACAACAAACACCAAUGACACAGCAGUCAAUGAUGCCUCAGCAACAGCAGCACAUGAUGGGGCAACAGGCAAAUGCUGCAAAUAUACCACAGAAUCAGUUAAUUGGACAACAAAACAGUAUUGCAGACAUGCAGCAGCAGAGACUGCUAGGCCAGUCUAGUAAUCUGCAGCAACAACAGCAGCAGCAGCAGUUAAUGGCUCAACAAAACAACCUUUCAAAUAUGCAUCAGCAACAGUUGGGUCCUCAGAGUAAUAUUUCAGGACUACAGCAACAGCAGCAGCAAUUGGUUGGAACCCAGUCGGGUAACUCAAGCAUGCAAACUAAUCAACAAUCUUUACACAUGCUAUCCCAGCCCAAGGUUGCACUCCAACAAACGCAGCAGACUGCACCUAAUUUACUGCCUACUCAAGGACAGACAUCCCAGCAGCCACAACAGCAGCAGCAACUGAUGUCUCAGAUGCAAUCACAGCCUACUCAGUUGCAGCAACAGUUGGGUUUGCAACAGCAGCCCAAUCAAGUGCAACAAAAUAUGCAGCAGAGACUUCAAGCAUCAGGUCAAACAUCAAGUUCCUUGCUUCAAUCACAAAAUUUGAUAGAUCAGCAAAAGCAGUUGUAUCAAUCACAGAGAGCUGUUCCGGAGACAUCAUCAAGUAUGUUUUUGAAUUUUUGCAGUUACAUACUGUUGCUCUUUGCCUUAUUUCUUUGUUGCUUUCUGAUAUUGUGUUAUUUAACUGAUCUUUAAAUAUUUCCUCAGAUAGCCCUGAAUUCUCUUUCCUCUUAUACACCAACUACACAAUUUUCAUAGUUGAUGCUUUAGUUUUGCAUUACAUUUCUACUAUAGAAAGUAAUUUCCUUUCCUACUUGAGGAUAUUAAGAGAAUAUCUUCUUAAACUUGGCUCUGCUAUCACAUCAGAAGCACAUUGUGCCUAGAUAAUUAAUCUGUAGCUCGGAAAACAGAUGCUAGGAAAAUUACCGGCACCCUUGCCUUCAUUAGCUGAUCAUAGACACUGCCUGGCUUUUGAUGCCAUGAGAAACAUUGUUGUCGCCCUUAUCAUUGUGAGGUCUUAACUGCUGUGACCUUGCUAUCAUGUCACUGUUAAUGCUUUGCGGCAGUAAUUGUGCAACAGUUUUGUUAAACCAUGAAGGAACUACUGGGUUAAUCUAUUCACUUUGACAAACAGUUCUUUCUCCUUCAUUCAGUGAGUUGUCCUAUUGAAUGUAGAACUUUUUUCAGGAAAGAGUUAAACUAUUUACUGUGUAAAGGAAAGAAGUGGUCAUGUUUUGUUGGUUAAUUUUAAAAAGAAGAAAAUUUUGCAGUGAGUUAUUGAGCUCAACUAAACAUGUCCACGGCUUCAACUUCAUUUCAAAUUUAGAAUAGUCUGAAAUUUCUAGCAGUUUGUUUGAUUAUGUCAGGUUGGUUCCACUCAAUUCCUCUGUCCAACGUUUGUAUCUUUGUACUUCCUAGUAAUCUAACUUUCAAGAUAUUCCCAACAUGGAGCUCAACAUGAAAUAUAUGAUUAGGAGAUUGUAGUCCUUGAAAUCCGCUUGUUACUGUUUUUGCAUCAAACUAGAGGGUAAACAUGCUUGCAAAUGUUAGGAGUUUUGUUUGGAGAAGGAUGCACAAAGAAUGUCCAGAUAAGCAAGUGAUUACAGCGAGGCAUUUCUUUCCUGCAUGAAAUGGUCUAAAGGGUGUCAAAACUCAAUUGUUUUAGUGGUGUCUUGGCUCAGUUUCACUGCUUACGCUGAGACAUGAUAUUGUGCUGUAGAUUUAGUUAAGUUUUAUAUCUGAACUGUACAUCCCUUGUGUCUAACUUGUUCCACAAAUCAUUUUAAUGCUUUAGUCUGAUUCACCCUUAUUAGCUUACCAGAUUUAGCUUUCAGUGGUUUAAUAGGUCAAUAGCAGAAAUUAUUUAACUUAUUUUAGGUCUUCCUUCUCACUUAAACUUACCAAUCAUUUAUUUAUAUUCCAACUGAACUUAGAUGUAGGUGGCAAAUAGUUAGCUUUAAACUUGAGAAAAUCUAUAACUAGCCUUGAUAGUUAAGAAUGAUGUUUGAACUCUGACUUGAUCUUUUAUGUAUCACAAUGGAAACUUUACAGAAUUGCUGCUUUAGUAGAGUAGACAUAGGUCUUGGAAUAUCCCAAAAGGAAAAGGCAUUUGAAUGGGAUUGCAGGGAGCAUGCUUUUUAAUGCAUAACCUAAAAAACUUGGAUAUGCAUGGUUAGUUGCAGAAACUAGCAAUAAAACCUUUUCAUAUAUUCAAGUCCAAAAUGUUUAAUGGUUUCUUCAAAUGCUUUGCUGUUGUACCCGUGGUGUGUCUGAUGGAAUCUUAUGACUUAAGAAUUCAUUAUUGACUGCAUUAUGAUCCCUGCGUCUCCCCUUCUAUGCUAUGUGCACCUUAAUUUUCUUUGAGAAUUGGUCAUAUUCUGCUCAAAUUUAUCCCUCUUCCACAAGGUAUUUAUUUCAAUGUUCUUUUAGACAUGCAACAAAAUCAUGUAUUUUUUUGUAUAACCAAUUUUCUUCCAUUUAAAUUAUGAUUUUGUAAUUCUUCUUGCUCCAAAAAUUUUCAUUAUUCUUUAUGUAUCUUCUUUUAGCAUCUUUAGAUUCCACAGCUCAAACAGGACAUUCUAAUGGGGGUGAUUGGCAAGAAGAGGUCUAUCAAAAGGUAAAAACUAUCUUGGCCCAUUCUCCUACAGAUAAUAAUUAUGCUUACAACUUGGUUUAAGAAUGUAAAACCCCUGAACCCUGAGUAUGUUGUGAUGUGUCUCUUUACAGGAACUAUGAAACGGAAGAAUUAGAACUUAAAAAGUAAUUGGGGAAAUGAAAUUCAGAUAUUUUCUGAUUGACUUAUUUGGUUAUAAGGACUUGAAUGUUCUUAGAGGAAAGAAAAUAAAGCUUAUAUAUACUUUUUAGUUUCAUUUGAAAGAUCCAUUAAGAUGUGUUAGCAAGAAACCUAAGGCCCAAGGACUACUACAAAGAUUUUGCAUGCUUGAUUUCAAAGUAAUCAUCAUUUGUUAUUACCUUUGUUUCUUCUGUGUUUAACUAAAAUCAGUACCGACUUAUCAGAAAAUGGAAAAAUAUUUUUACUUUUCUAAUAAACCAUGAUUCUAGAUGAAUUGAAUGGUUUAGUUGUUGGCUAACCAUCCUGUUCCUGAUUUAAUGUUGCAGAUCAAGGCCAUGAAAGAGACAUACUUCUCUGAAUUAAAUGAGAUGCACCAGAAAAUUGCUGCCAAGUUGCUGCAGGUAGGUUUAUCCUUUCACAUAGUACACCUUCAAAGAGUAGUAGAACCCAUCUGCAUGAACCUCUGCCACCCUGUAUCUCUAAAUUGAAUAUGAAGAGGACUUCACUACACUUCAGGACGCUUUUGAUCCCAUACCGCUUUUUAAUUGCUACUUGAAUCCCUUUCCUUUAGGCACAGUUUACUGGUUGCACUUUAUGCUUAUCUGAUGUAAUAGUGGUUUGUUAUUCUACUUGCUUCAGUUAAAACAAUUCUUCUAUUUUCCAGCAUGAUUCUCUUCCACAGCAGCCAAAGUCGGAGCAGCUUGAGAAGUUGAAAAUAUUCAAGACCAUGUUGGAGCGCAUUCUACAUUUCUUAACUGUUUCCAAAGCUAAUAUAGUACCGGCUUUCAAGGACAAGUUGAGUUCGUAUGAGAAGCAGAUAAUAAACUUUAUAAAUACCAAUAGGCCAAGGAAGCCUGUCUCAGCUCUGCAGCAAGGACAGCUUCCUCCACCUCAUAUGCAUUCCAUGCAGCAGCCCCAACCUCAAAGUAAUCAAACGCAAUCUCAUGAUAAUCAAAUGAAUCCUCAGUUGCAGUCAAUAAAUUUACAAGGUUCUAUGCCAACAAUGCAGCCUAACAACAUGACAAGCUUGCAGCAUAAUACCUUGUCUUCUUUACCUGGGGUUUC
rnacentral:lncRNA from 1 species